ensembl:lncRNA
AUGAUCAGGUUUUCUGUUCUAGUCUGCCUGUCAGUGCUGCUGUUCAGCACUUCAGCCAAGCCAUACAGGCCCAGGGACAAAGUGUUGGGCAAAGCAGUUCAGGACACUAUAGAUUUUGAUCACCCCAGUGGGAAGAUGAUCCUGGGAAUGAAGGAGGUGGAGCCACCACAGGACAUGGACAUUACAGAUUCUGACAUCGAUCCCAACAUGUUGAUCUGGAAAGCCGUAAAAGGAGAAAUACAGCAGAAAUAUGACAGACCUGAAGAGGAUAAAGAUGCUCUCUACCACUCCUUUGACAUAAAACAUCCAGCUGAUGCAAAACAGCCUGAAAACUACUUUCAGCCACUGGGACACGAUCAGGUACGGAUGCAUGACAAACCAGAAGAAGAUAGGGAUGAUCUAUACCAUGGCAUGUUUGAUGUAGCUGAAGAGCCAAUGAGAGAAGAGAAGGAUGUAAUUGGAGGUAAUGUCAGGCCCAUCUACUCAAGCCCUGAAGAGGACAAAGACGACCUGUACCACGCAGAUGUUAAAGGACAUCAGUCUGACCAGCAGGCUCUGCCGAUGAAUAUAUUCCCCAUUCGCCCAAAAAGGGUGCACACAGAGCCAGAAGUAGACCUGGAUGGCCUUUAUCAUAAGCAAUGA